GUCUGUUGUUUUUUAGCUUCAGUUUGAUCUUGUUUUCCACAGUAUUCUCCAUAUAGUUCUGACAACAUAUGUGGACAAACAUUAUACUGUCUUUUAUGUCAGAAUCCAACUAUACAGUGUAUUAAUAAGUCAAAUCACAACAUCCCACAAAGAUCAAUGAAUCUUUACCAGAAGUGACGGAGCAGAUGAAGAAAAAUCCACCUUCAAACUGCCAGUAAUCAGCUGGAUCCUUGGAGCAUCUGGGGGAAGAAAUAACAGGAGACACUAAGAUUCACUGUCAAGUCCUUAAAAAUUGUUCUCAAAGAAACUCAGAGGAGUCGGCGGUUCAAUUUUUUCCGCUAAUCCAAAUAUGGUCAAAGAGGAGGGGCCUGUGUGGAGCUGAGACUGGUGAAUGCUGGUUUGCUCACCCACCUGUCACUCAAAGAGGCCACGCCCUCAAUUCUCCAUAACUUUAGUCCUUAAUAAAAUGUAAACAGAUGAACCACAGCAUGUGUCAAAACCUCUGCACCGACCAGACGAGACAAAUUACACCAAUCGGACAAAUUGCCCCUUUUUUAAAAAACAACUUGAACUGCUGCUAAAAGUCAGUCAGAAGAAAGAGUUUUACUAUGAAAAUUGUUGUUUUUAUAUGUAACCGUGUCAGUCCAGUCAACAAAGACAUUUAUCAGAGCGUAAUCAGAAGAAUUAAAGGUAAUGGAGAAGAGGCUGAAGAGAAGGAACCAACAACAAUGGCUUGAUGAAGACGGAUGGAUGAUGAACACGAUAAAGGAGCAAGCGAAAUAAAACCAGAGGCAUUGUUGUUGUCAGCAGCUGAUUGAAGCUGGUUUCUCAUCCGAAGACAUGAAUCACACAGACGAGACCCGCAUGAUCAAAAUGAGUCUCUAUGAAACCAGCUCUGUGUUUGUUCUCUCGUUCCUCUGAUGAUCACAAACUGACGCUGAAUAUAAAUCCACCUCUGAUUGUCUUCACAUGAAUGACGUGACUUGACUCAGGAGGAGAAACCGUGUCAGCCAUGUUUGUCUCAGACUGUAAAUACAGUCAUUAACAUUAACGUCAUGUCAUACUCUCCAUAAUACAACACUUCCUGCUGAUGUUUCACAUUAAAAGUCUUCCAGGACAGAGGGAAAGUUUUUUGCAGGAAACACAAAAACUGUGGAAAAGUGUUUUACACUCAGAAAAUAAGAAAAUAAAUAAUGUGGAAAAGUGUUUUAUACUUUUCCACAGUUUUUGUGUUUCCUGUUUCACUUUUCUGUUACUGUUUCACAAUAAAAGCCCCCCAGUGUUUUGCCAGCCGAAGGCUUUUAAUAUGAACUUUAGUGUCAGUAGGAAAUGUUUCAUGAUAAUAAUGAGAUGCAAUUAGAAACAGAAACGCUGGACAUGUUGUAAAGUUUGCUUUCAUUACAAAUCUCAAAGGUUAUAAUAUAAAGUAAAAAUUAUUAUUAUAUUAAUUGAAAUAAUCCAAAUGUUUACAAUGAUUAAGGAACACAAACACUCUCCUCUGUUUGUGAGAAUAUGGAUGUACUGAAGUUACACACAGACUGUAAAUAAAAGGAAUGAAA